CACAAGAUCAUACCAGACUCUAACUAAACCCAGAAAACAAACAAAACAAAGCUCUCACACUCUCAACUUUAGUUUUUCCCAUUUCACUUUCAUUUUUCCAUUUUAUUUUCUCAUUUCACUCUCCAGAAUGCAAAUCAAAUUAUAGAAACUUCUUCUUCACUUGCUCGCUAUACUUGUGUAACAAUAACAUCAACCAUUUUAUUGUUUUUAUAUUGUGUCUGUGAUUUUAGAGGCUUUCCAGUUUCCACAGUUGAAUAAUGGAUGUUGAGGCUUCUGAUACGCCAAAAAUUUGUGGUGGUGGUGAUGAUGACAACGUGAAGAAGGAACCUGUUUCUUGUCAAGACUUUGAAUCAAGUUUCAGAACAUGUUGCAGUAAACAUGAUACGGCUACGCUGCCAGUUAAGAGGCUGUUUGAUAACAGCAACUCCUUGCAUACUGUUAAAAAAUCAAAGGCAUCACCAUAUGAUGAUCACAGUAAACAUGGAGAUGGUAUUUUGUCGUCGAGUACAGCUAAAAAGCCGAGAAAAUCAGCUGAUGAAUCAUUUUCCUCGCUGAUGAAAGAACUUCGAUUGGUACAAAACUCGUUUAAGAAAUGCAAAAGGAAGAGGCGAGUAGAAAAAGAGAGAUUGCAGUCUGUAAAGAAAGAUAUUGAAGAGUGCUGCAAAGAGCUUGAAGAUAAGAACAAUCAAGUAAGUCGUUUUAAUGAAAUUCAUGAUGUAAUGAAGGGAAAAGUUGAAAUGACGGAAGAGGAACUCAGGGCUCUUUCCCAAAAGGUUGCUGAAUGUACUGUGGAACUUCAGGUCAAAGAGAAAGAUCUUGAUGCGAUGAACAAAUUAGUUGGUGAAGAAGCGGAGAAAUUAGAGUCUGCAAAGAAGAAAUCGAUGCAUAUAAUAUCAGAAAUGAAGAAUAGCUGUGCUCUAAUGAAGGAAUUUGAGUCAAAGCAGAAGCAAUUUAAAGGUUGGGUUAAGGAACUUGAGUCAAAAGAGAAGCUGUGUCAAGAACGCGUGGAGGAGCUUGAGUCAAAGGAGAAACACUAUGAAGAAUGGGUAAAGAAGCUGGAUUCGAGAGAGAAGCAGCUUGAAGACUGUAUGAAGGAAUUUGAGUCAAAGGAGAAGGAACUUGAAGGUCGUAUGAAUGAGCUUGACACAAAAGAGAUUCAACUUGAAGGAUGAGCAAUGGAGCUAGAGUCAAAAGAGAUGCAACAUGAAGGCCGGGUGAAGGAGUUUGAAUCAAAAGAGAAGGAUUUUGAAAACCAAAUGAAGGAGCAUGUAUUGAAACAGGAGCAUUGAGAAAGCCAAAUGAAGGAGCUUCAGUCAAAAGAGAAGCAACUUGAAGGCCGAUUGAAUGAGCAUGAGUCAAAGGAGAAGGAAUUUGAAGGCUGUGUGAAGGAGAUGGAAUAUAAAGCGAAGCAUUUCGAAAGCAUGGUGGAGGAGCUCAAAUCAAAAUUGAGGUCGUUGAAAGAACAACUUCAAGAACUUGAUUCUAAAGAGAAGCAACUUGAUGGUCAGGUGAAGGAGCUGGAAUCUAAAAAGAACCACUUUGAAAGACAAGUUAAGGAGUUUGAGUCAAAAGAGAGUCAACUUGUAGGCCAACUGAAGGAGUUUAAAUUAAAAAAGAAGGAAUUUGAAGGCCAACUGAAGGAGUUGGAAUCAAAAGAUAACGAACUUGUAGGCAAAGUAAAGAUGUUUGAAUCAAAAGAGAAGGAGUUUGAAUGCCAAAUGAUGGACUUGCUAUCAAAACAGAAGCAUGUCGAAAACCAAAUGAAGGAGCUCGAGUCAAAAGAGGAGAAAUUCAAAGGACAAGUGAAGGAGUUUCAAUCAAAAGAGGAGGAAUUCGAAGAACAAGUGAAGGACAUUAAAUUAAAGGAGGAAGAACUCGAAUCAAAAGAGAAGCAUUUUGCAAGACAAGUUGAGGACUUCAAAUCAAAACAGAACCAAUUUCAGGUACGAUGGAAUGAACUGGAGUCGAAAGAGUACAAGUUCGAUGAAAAGGUGAAGGAGCUCAGCUUAAAAGUAAAGCAGUGUGAAGGACAAGGCAAGGAUCCUAUGUCAAAACGGAGUAAAUUUGAUGGACAACUAAAGGAGCCAGAGUUCAGGAAAAAAUGCAUUGAUAAGGAAAAAGAAUCCGUUGCAUCUUACAUGGAUGGUCAAUCAAGUCGUGCCUUUGGUAGUACAAGUUUGCAGUUGGACACAAGUGAGAAAACUGAUGGAGUUGAGUCACUUUACAAUGGUAUUUUAGCUAAUCUGCAAGAAUCAUCAGAUCCAUCAAAACUUGUUUUGGAAAUGAUACUGAACCCCAUCUUUCCACUGUGUCAAAAGGGAGACAAUGUUGUCAUUAUUGUUGAUUACCAAAUCUAUCUUCUGGAACAACUGAUGAGAAUCUCACCAGAUAUUGAACCUUGUGUGAGAAAAGAAGCAUUGAAGCUAGCAUUUGAUUUGAAAGCUAACAUGAAAGAAAAUACUGAAUUUUUUUUGGCGGUUCUUGGUUUUCUGAUGCUUUUGUCAAUUUAUAAAUUGCUUGAUUCUUUUGAUGAAGAUGAAGUUUUGGAGCUUUUUGCAUUUGUUGCUCUGCACAAAAUUGCCGUGGAGCUGUUUGAAAGCCUGGGUUUUGCAAACAGAGUUUCUGAUUUUGUUAAGCAUCUUAUCAACAGGAAGCAAAUUGUUGCAGCUGUUAGAUUCAGUUGUGCGUAUGACUUGGAUGAUGAGGAUCAGUUAGUUGAUAUGUUGCGAGAGCACGUCCAGAAUGCCAAACUGAUUUGUGAGAGCUUUUGCAAGAAAACCAACUCCAUUGAAAUCAAGGAUAAGGCCAGAGAUCAAGAAAUUGCUAGUCUCGGGACUGUUUUACAAUGCAUUUCAGAGAACAGACUAGAAUCUGCGGAUCUGCUUCAUAAGGAGAUUGACCAUCGCAUUCUUGUGCUAAAAUCACAUAAAGGCAAUUAGUUUUUGGAGUGGAACAACCUAAUGUAAAGAAAUGGGGUAAUCGAAACGUGCUAACUUACACACUACUAUUGUUGGGGUAGUAUUAAGAUGAAGGCAAUAAGGAAGAAUGCAGUUACUGAAGCGAUGAUGUAUCAAGAUGUGGCUGAAUUACCCUAAACUCCAGGACAGCAUGGAAUCCAAUGAAGGAGAAGAUUGCUUAGAAUGCAACGAAGAACGCUGCUCAAUUAAAAGACAAAGAAUAGAACUCAGGGGAGAAAGCUCCUAGGCUGGAACAAAGUUACACAUUGCAUCAAAACAGCAGGCCCUUUGGACUCAGAAUCCAUGGACUUUGGCUGAAAAUUGAUGAAUACAUAGAAAUAUUUGUGGUCUCAGGACAAAACAGUAUCCCCAUGUAUUUCUAACUUAUCUUAAUCUAUUUCUGUUGCAGUUACAAGUUUUUGGGCUGAUUUAAGCUUCCA